UACGAAGGGGGCAAGCGUUGUUCGGAAUUACUGGGCGUAAAGCGUGCGUAGGCGGUUUGUUAAGUCUGUCGUGAAAGCCCCGGGCUCAACCUGGGAAUGGCGAUGGAUACUGGCGAGCUAGAGUACGGUAGAGGAGAGUGGAAUUCCCGGUGUAGCAGUGAAAUGCGUAGAGAUCGGGAGGAACAUCAGUUGCGAAGGCGGCUCUCUGGACCAGUACUGACGCUGAGGCACGAAAGCGUGGGGAGCAAACAGG
rnacentral:rRNA from 1 species